rnacentral:rRNA from 1 species
AGAGGGUGCGAGCGUUAAUCGGAAUUACUGGGCGUAAAGGGUAUGCAGGUGGUUACAGCAGUCAGAUGUGAAAGCCCUGGGCUCAACCUGGGAACUGCAUUUGAUACUUUGUAACUAGAGUACGGUAGAGGGUAGUGGAAUUUCCGGUGUAGCGGUGAAAUGCGUAGAUAUCGGAAGGAACACCAGUGGCGAAGGCGACUACCUGGACUGAUACUGACACUGAGGUACGAAAGCGUGGGUAGCGAACAGGAUUAGAUACCCUGGUAGUCCACGCUGUAAACGAUGAGAACUAGACGUUGGGGGGGGUAAACCCCUUUAGUGUCGUAGCUAACGCGCUAAGUUCUCCGCCUGGGGGAGUACGGCCGCAAGGUUA